GCCAGGCACGGUGGUGCUCGCCUGUAGUCCCAGUUACUCGGGAGGCUGAGGCAGGAGGAUCGCUUGAGCCCAGGAGGCAGAGGCUGGAGUGAGCCGUGAUCAUGCUACUGUACUCCAGCCUCUAGUCUGGGCAACAGAGCAAGAUCCUGUCUCAA
rnacentral:SRP_RNA from 1 species